rnacentral:lncRNA from 1 species
GGACUCAAGCCAGUGUCCCAAAGUACCUACAUCCCAUCCAUACGUGCACUCACCGGAGUCAUCCUGUGUAUGUGUGCGUGCACGAGAGAGAGAGAGAGAGAGAGGACCUGCAUCCCAUCCAUACGUGCAUUCACCUGAGUCAUCCUGUGUGUGUGUGUGUGUGCGCGCGCGCGUGCAUGAGAGAGAGAGAGAGGGGGGUACCUGCAUCCCAUCCAUACGUGCAUUCACCUGAGUCAUCCUGUGUGUGUGUGUGCGCGCGCGCGCGCGCGUGCAUGAGAGAGAGAGAGCGCCCCCCCCCCCAUCCCUCCAGAGGAACAAGACACGGGGUCGUCCUUCCUUCUCCCAAGCAGUCUUCCCUGUAUUCUUCUUGCCUCCAGCCCACCACGCCACGUUUUGAAAUUUCGGAGACAAAACUAGUACUGUAAGAUAAAGAUUUUUUUUGUACUGUAUUUAUUGUGUAUAACGAUUUUUUUAAGGGAGAAUUCUGUACAUCUAGAACUCUUGUAAAUUAAAAGCCGAUCCUUUUUUUUUUUUAAACU